rnacentral:rRNA from 1 species
ACGGGGGCCGCACAAGCGGUGGAGCAUGUGGUUAAUUCGAAGCAACGCGAAGACCUUACCAGGUCUUGACAUCCCGAUGCUAUUUCUAGAGAUAGAAAGUUACUUCGGUACAUCGGUGACAGGUGGUGCAUGGUUGUCGUCAGCUCGUGUCGUAAGAUGUUGGGUUAAGUCCCGCAACGAGCGCAACCCCUAUUGUUAGUUGCCAUCAUUCAGUUGGGCACUCUAGCGAGACUGCCGGUAAUAAACCGGAGGAAGGUGGGGAUGACGUCAAAUCAUCAUGCCCCUUAUGACCUGGGCUACACACGUGCUACAAUGGUUGGUACAACGAGUUGCGAGUCGGUGACGGCGAGCUAAUCUCUUAAAGCCAAUCUCAGUUCGGAUUGUAGGCUGCAACUCGCCUACAUGAAGUCGGAAUCGCUAGUAAUCGCGGAUCAGCACGCCGCGGUCGAAUACGUUCCCGGGCCUU